rnacentral:sRNA from 1 species
CCCUAGCCCCGAUAGAAGCGAUAUCCUUUUUGUUUUUUGAAGAAAAGCAAAAAGAUAAAGCGGAUAGCGGGAAAUAGC